AACAAAUCCCAAAAAUUAAAGCAAACCCAUACAACAAACUAAUUGACAAGGAAAACUCGUGUUAGCUUGCAGACUCAAUCUAUCA
rnacentral:misc_RNA from 1 species